GGAGCAACGCGCGCGAGAGCGUCUGCGCAUGCGCUUUGAAAUCCAGACCACACCAGGACCGUUGGUUUGGAAAGGACACAUGAGGGUACUGCCUGUCUUGUUUUCAGAGCUCGUUAAAAGUGACAUUUGCUGUACAUUUGGAAUUCCAAAGCCUGUUCAGACAAAUUACGAGCUAAGUCAGUCCCCAACAAAGGCAGCUAGCCUUGUAGAAGUCGGUGAAUUAACUGAUGAAUACCCCUUGGCUGACUAUUUGAUUGGACAUGUGCAGAUGGUAACGUUAAAGAGAUUUUUCUGCUGCAAAGGAUGACAUUGAUGCAGCUUGUGAACUUGCCAUCAGAGGACUGUGUAUCUAUCUUAAUGAGGACUCUAAAGAUCUCAUUCAGGAGUAUGCGGACAUGGAAGAAGAUCUUUUACAGUGUGCGAUUGAGAAGACUACCAUGGGCAUCUUCGUGAUAAAGCACACUGCAGACAAUGAAGCCCAUGAUGUAGGCAUUGUGCUAGAGGGUGUAGCAGUGCUUCAGGACAUCGACAGUGUGGAUUUUGCAACUUCAAUGUUUUUGGUCUAAUUUAUGCUCUUAACCUGCAGUACCCCACAAAGUUGCGUUUUACAUAUGAAAUUUAGCAAAAACUCAUCAUGGACUUGGAUGCGGGUGAAUUCUCGAUCAAGGCCCAAAAUUUCAAAUCUGAACUCCACCAGUGAGAUGGACUGAUUUUUGAAUGACUACUGAGACUACAAACAAUCAACCUCGGAAAAUUUCAGCAGCCUUCAUGCAAGACCACUGCAGAGGGUAAACCGUGAUCUUGUUGUUUAGACUGUUCCCCUUUGCCUGCUCUCGUUUCUUUAUCUUUUUUUUUUUGUCUGAAUUUGGCCCUUCGUUGGACUGGCUCAGAAGUUGAUUGAUUAGAGAGCUGAAUCUAUGAAACAUGGUUGAACUAGCAUAAAUAAGAUACUUUGUUUAUAGUUUAGGUAAGGGUCAGAUACUGUAUUUUCACAUUGUUUUGUAAUGUCUAUAUAUAAUUAUCUUUGAAACUAAAGCGUUUUUCUUGAAAUAACAUUUCCAGGUAGGGCUGCACGAUAUUGGGAAAAAAUGACAUUGCGAUAUUUUAUU